GUUUUUUGGGGAAAUUUUUUCGCAAUGGGCGAAAGCCUGACGGAGCAAUACCGCGUGAGGGAGGACGGCUUUUGGGUUGUAAACCUCUUUUAUCAGGGAAGAAUCGAUGACGGUACCUGAUGAAUCAGCAUCGGCUAACUCCGUGCCAGCAGCCGCGGUAAUACGGAGGAUGCAAGCGUUAUCCGGAAUUAUUGGGCGUAAAGCGUCCGUAGGUGGUUUAUCAAGUCUGCUGUCAAAGCGUGCGGCUUAACCGCAUAAGGGCAGUGGAAACUGAUGAACUAGAGUGCGAUAGGGGUAACAGGAAUUCCCAGUGUAGCGGUGAAAUGCGUAGAUAUUGGGAAGAACACCAGCGGCGAAAGCGUGUUACUGGGUCUGCACUGACACUGAGGGACGAAAGCUAGGGGAGCGAAUGGGAUUAGAUACCGCAAAGUAGUCAAAAU
rnacentral:rRNA from 1 species